CAUGUCCAGGAGACGUCAGUACACCCGUGGUCGACCCAAUCAUUAACGAUGCAACACCAAACAGCAGCACGACGCCAUAUAUUACAUAGAUUGGGAA